rnacentral:rRNA from 1 species
GAUGAACGCUGGCGGCGUGCCUAAUACAUGCAAGUCGAGCGGACGGACGAGAAGCUUGCUUCUCUGAUGUUAGCGGCGGACGGGUGAGUAACACGUGGAUAACUUACCUAUAAGACUGGGAUAACUUCGGGAAACCGGAGCUAAUACAGGACAAUAUUUUGAACCGGAUGGUUCAAAAGUGAACGACGGUCUUGCUGUCACUUAUAGAUGGAUCCGCGCUGCAUUAGCUAGUUGGUAAGGUAACGGCUUACCAAGGCAACGAUGCGUAGCUGACCUGAGAGGGUGAUCAGCCACACUGGAACUGAGACACGGUCCAGACUCCUACGGGAGGCAGCAGUAGGGAAUCUUCGACAAUGGGCGAAAGCCUGAUGCAGCAAUGCCGCGUGAGUGAUGAAGGUCUUCGGAUCGUAAAACUCUGUUAUUAGGGAAGAACAUCUGUGUAAGUAACUGUGCAGAUCUUGACGGUACCUAAUGAGAAAGCCACGGCUAACUUCGUG